rnacentral:rRNA from 1 species
UACACUCCUGCGGGAGGCAGCAGUGGGGAAUCUUGCGCAAUGGGCGAAAGCCUGACGCAGCCAUGCCGCGUGAAUGAUGAAGGUCUUAGGAUUGUAAAAUUCUUUCACCGGGGACGAUAAUGACGGUACCCGGAGAAGAAGCCCCGGCUAACUUCGUGCCAGCAGCCGCGGUAAUACGAAGGGGGCUAGCGUUGCUCGGAAUUACUGGGCGUAAAGGGAGCGUAGGCGGACAUUUAAGUCAGGGCUGAAAUCCCGGGGCUCAACCUCGGAAUUGCCUUUGAUACUGGGUGUCUUGAGUAUGAGAGAGGUGUGUGGAACUCCGAGUGUAGAGGUGAAAUUCGUAGAUAUUCGGAAGAACACCAGUGGCGAAGGCGACACACUGGCUCAUUACUGACGCUGAGGCUCGAAAGCGUGGGGAGCAAACAGGAUUAGAUACCCCAGUAGUCCCAUGAU